CGGCGUGCCUAACACAUGCAAGUCGAGCGAGGAGAUUCCUCGGAUGAUCCUAGCGGCGGACGGGUGAGUAACACGUGGGCGAACCUGCCUCAUAGAGAGGAAUAGCCUUCCGAAAGGGAGAUUAAUACCUCAUAACAUUGCAGUUUCGCAUGGAACAGCAAUUAAAGGAGCAAUCCGCUAUGAGAUGGGCCCGCGGCGCAUUAGCUAGUUGGUGAGGUAACGGCUCACCAAGGCGACGAUGCGUAGCCGACCUGAGAGGGUGAUCGGCCACAUUGGGACUGAGACACGGCCCAGACUCCUACGGGAGGCAGCAGUGGGGAAUAUUGCACAAUGGGGGAAACCCUGAUGCAGCCAACGCCGCGUGAGUGAUGACGGCCUUCGGGUUGUAAAGCUCUGUCUUCAGGGACGAUAAUGACGGUACCUGAGGAGGAAGCCACGGCUAACUACGUGCCAGCAGCUGC
rnacentral:rRNA from 1 species